rnacentral:rRNA from 1 species
GAUGAACGCUGGCGGCGUGCCUAAUACAUGCAAGUCGAGCGAACGGACGAGAAGCUUGCUUCUCUGAUGUUAGCGGCGGACGGGUGAGUAACACGUGGAUAACCUACCUAUAAGACUGGGAUAACUUCGGGAAACCGGAGCUAAUACCGGAUAAUAUUUUGAACCGCAUGGUUCAAAAGUGAAAGACGGUCUUGCUGUCACUUAUAGAUGGAUCCGCGCUGCAUUAGCUAGUUGGUAAGGUAACGGCUUACCAAGGCAACGAUGCAUAGCCGACCUGAGAGGGUGAUCGGCCACACUGGAACUGAGACACGGUCCAGACUCCUACGGGAGGCAGCAGUAGGGAAUCUUCCGCAAUGGGCGAAAGCCUGACGGAGCAACGCCGCGUGAGUGAUGAAGGUCUUCGGAUCGUAAAACUCUGUUAUUAGGGAAGAACAUAUGUGUAAGUAACUGUGCACAUCUUGACGGUACCUAAUCAGAAAGCCACGGCUAACUACGUGCCAGCAGCCGCGGUAAUACGUAGGUGGCAAGCGUUAUCCGGAAUUAUUGGGCGUAAAGCGCGCGUAGGCGGUUUUUUAAGUCUGAUGUGAAAGCCCACGGCUCAACCGUGGAGGGUCAUUGGAAACUGGAAAACUUGAGUGCAGAAGAGGAAAGUGGAAUUCCAUGUGUAGCGGUGAAAUGCGCAGAGAUAUGGAGGAACACCAGUGGCGAAGGCGACUUUCUGGUCUGUAACUGACGCUGAUGUGCGAAAGCGUGGGGAUCAAACAGGAUUAGAUACCCUGGUAGUCCACGCCGUAAACGAUGAGUGCUAAGUGUUAGGGGGUUUCCGCCCCUUAGUGCUGCAACUAACGCAUUAAGCACUCCGCCUGGGGAGUACGACCGCAAGGUUGAAACUCAAAGGAAUUGACGGGGACCCGCACAAGCGGUGGAGCAUGUGGUUUAAUUCGAAGCAACGCGAAGAACCUUACCAAAUCUUGACAUCCUUUGACAACUCUAGAGAUAGAGCCUUCCCCUUCGGGGGACAAAGUGACAGGUGGUGCAUGGUUGUCGUCAGCUCGUGUCGUGAGAUGUUGGGUUAAGUCCCGCAACGAGCGCAACCCUUAAGCUUAGUUGCCAUCAUUAAGUUGGGCACUCUAAGUUGACUGCCGGUGACAAACCGGAGGAAGGUGGGGAUGACGUCAAAUCAUCAUGCCCCUUAUGAUUUGGGCUACACACGUGCUACAAUGGACAAUACAAAGGGCAGCGAAACCGCGAGGUCAAGCAAAUCCCAUAAAGUUGUUCUCAGUUCGGAUUGUAGUCUGCAACUCGACUACAUGAAGCUGGAAUCGCUAGUAAUCGUAGAUCAGCAUGCUACGGUGAAUACGUUCCCGGGUCU